rnacentral:lncRNA from 1 species
GGGUAAAGCGCUAAACCAACAGUAUCUAAUAUUUAUUGAAGUCAUUCUUACUGUGUUCUUGUUUGAAAUGUUUACAUGUAUUAAAUCAUUUGUGAGGUCGGUGCUAUUAGUAUUCUUAUUUGUCUAGUGGGGACUCUGAAAUGCAGAGAGGGUCAGUAACUUGCCCAAAGCCAGGCAGCUCAAAAGUGAGAGAGUGAGGAAGUAAUGAGAGAGGUGCUCACUCCUGACAGGGCAGGUCCUAGAAAAUCCUGUGUGACUCCCUUAGAUACCACUGUGAGGGCACAGAAUGACUGGAUCGAGUCCGGGGAGGCUGCGGAUAGGGUGUCCACACCAGGCAGGGAAGAGCUGAGGGCAGCCUUGUUUGAUUAUUGGCUGCUCUUCUCUCUGAGGUAUUGGAUGUGGCCCAGGAAGGCUAUUUUGCCUCAGGUUUUCUCUCAAGAGGCCUCUAAGCAGUCCUUCAGUGAACUCCACCCCAACGCUGAAACCCAGCUUCUCCCCUCAGGAGCUUAUGGCUCUAGCUUGAGACCAAACAGAAGUACUAACUUGUUUUCCAAGAAUCAUAUCUGCUUGUUGCUGUGGUGCUAUAGAAGGCAUUACCAUCUUGGAAGAAUCUAUCAAAGCAGCUGCGCAUCAUGGCCUGUCCAGCGAGAGUUUUUCGAGAAAAAUUGCUGAUUGAAAAUAAUGUGCGGAACCACUAGCGAUCAUUGCUCCGGGCUUGUUACAUUUGGAGUGGGCAUGCCGUUACUCCCACUGAGAAAGAGAUUGAUGCUGGGGCAAAGUGAAGUGGACCAGUACUUGAGGGAACACGGAAAACAGCAUUCCUGUGACCGCCUUGUAAGAUUAAUUCCCAUAUCUACCAUUUGCAGCAAAUCAUCUUUGUUUCCACUCUUGGAUUUAGGCUGUUUCAAAUACCACAUGUUGUCUACCUUUCUUCUAACUUAUUUAAUAACUAAUAGGCAUAUUUUAAAAGGGGAAAUAAGAAAAAAGCUAAGAAUUUCAGUGUGAACUAUUUUAAGACUGCAGCUGCAUUUAUUACCCUCUUUCUCUAAAGUGUUCAGGUUAUUUUUAUCUACUUUUUCCAAGAAAGUAUUACCUCAUGCUUUCACACCUUAC